UUAUACUGCGAAACUGCGAAUGGCUCAUUAAAUCAGUUAUAGUUUAUUUGAUAGUACCUACUACAUGGAUAACCGUGGUAAUUCUAGAGCUAAUACAUGCUAAAAACCCCGAUCGAAGGGGUGUAUUUAUUAGAUUAAAAACCAACGCCCUUCGGGGCUCCCUGGUGAUUCAUAAUAACUUUUCGAAUCGCAUGGCCUUGCGCCGGCGAUGGUUCAUUCAAAUUUCUGCCCUAUCAACUUUCGAUGGCAGGGUCUUGGCCUGCCAUGGUUACAACGGGUAACGGAGGGUUAGGGCUCGACCCCGGAGAAGGAGCCUGAGAAACGGCUACUACAUCCAAGGAAGGCAGCAGGCGCGCAAAUUACCCAAUCCCGACACGGGGAGGUAGUGACAAUAAAUACUGAUACGGGGCUCUUUUGGGUCUCGUAAUCGGAAUGAGUACAAUUUAAAUCCCUUAACGAGGAACAAUUGGAGGGCAAGUCUGGUCCAGCAGCCGCGGUAAUUCCAGCUCCAAUAGCGUAUAUUAAAGUUGUUGCAGUUAAAAAGCUCGUAGUUGAACCUUGGGCCUGGCUGGCCGGUCCGCCUCACCGCGUGCACUGGUUCGGCCGGGCCUUCCCUCUGGGGAACCCCAUGCCCUUCACUGGGUGUGGGGGGACCAGGACUUUUACUGUGAAAAAAUUAGAGUGUUCAAAGCAGGCUAUGCUCGAAUACAUCAGCAUGGAAUAAUGGAAUAGGACGUGCGGUUCUAUUUUGUUGGUUUCUAGGACCGCCGUAAUGAUUAAUAGGGACAGUCGGGGGCAUCAGUAUUCAAUUGUCAGAGGUGAAAUUCUUGGAUUUAUUGAAGACUAACUACUGCGAAAGCAUUUGCCAAGGAGUUUUUCAUUAAUCAGGAACGAAAGUUAGGGGAUCGAAGACGAUCAGAUACCGUCGUAGUCUUAACCAUAAACUAUGCCGACUAGGGAUCGGGCGAUGUUAUUUUUGACUCGCUCGGC
rnacentral:rRNA from 1 species